rnacentral:rRNA from 1 species
UACGUAGGGUGCAAGCGUUGUCCGGAAUUCUUGGGCGUAAAGAGCUCGUAGGCGGUCUGUCACGUCGGCUGUGAAAACCCGAGGCUCAACCUCGGGCCUGCAGUCGAUACGGGCAAACUAGAGUACUGCAGGGGAGACUGGAAUUCCUGGUGUAGCGGUGAAAUGCGCAGAUAUCAGGAGGAACACCGGUGGCGAAGGCGGGUCUCUGGGCAGUAACUGACGCUGAGGAGCGAAAGCGUGGGGAGCGAACAGG